rnacentral:rRNA from 1 species
CCUACGGGAGGCAGCAGUGGGGAAUUUUGGACAAUGGGCGAAAGCCUGAUCCAGCAAUGCCGCGUGAGUGAAGAAGGCCUUCGGGUUGUAAAGCUCUUUUGUCAGGGAAGAAACGGUGAGAGCUAAUAUCUCUUGCUAAUGACGGUACCUGAAGAAUAAGCACCGGCUAACUACGUGCCAGCAGCCGCGGUAAUACGUAGGGUGCAAGCGUUAAUCGGAAUUACUGGGCGUAAAGCGUGCGCAGGCGGUUUUGUAAGUCUGAUGUGAAAUCCCCGGGCUCAACCUGGGAAUUGCAUUGGAGACUGCAAGGCUAGAAUCUGGCAGAGGGGGGUAGAAUUCCACGUGUAGCAGUGAAAUGCGUAGAUAUGUGGAGGAACACCGAUGGCGAAGGCAGCCCCCUGGGUCAAGAUUGACGCUCAUGCACGAAAGCGUGGGGAGCAAACAGGAUUAGAUACCCUGGUAGUCCACGCCCUAAACGAUGUCUACUAGUUGUCGGGUCUUAAUUGACUUGGUAACGCAGCUAACGCGUGAAGUAGACCGCCUGGGGAGUACGGUCGCAAGNUUAAAACUCAAAGGAUUGACGGCNGAGAGNGCGACGACGACGACGAGGGAGGAGG